CGGGUUCGUUCGCUUCGCGUUUUGGCCAGGGCGGGGGUCUGGGCUUUAGGCAGGUAGUAUUUAGUUUCACAAUGUUUGGGGACCUAUUUGAAGAGGAGUAUUCCACUGUGUCUAAUAAUCAGUAUGGAAAAGGGAAGAAAUUAAAGACUAAAGCUUUGGAGCCACCUGCUCCUAGAGAAUUCACCAAUUUAAGCGGAAUCAGAAAUCAGGGUGGAACCUGUUACCUCAAUUCCCUUCUUCAGACUCUUCAUUUCACACCUGAAUUCAGAGAGUAUAUCAGAAUUUCCCAGUAAGAGUUCCUACCUAGGCUCGGAUACAGACUUCUCAAAAGAUUCAGGUAUGUCCCAUUGGGUGGCACAUCACCUAGAUGUUGGGUGAUAAAGAAA
rnacentral:lncRNA from 1 species